UAAAUUGUACCAUGUCUGUUCUAUUUUCAGCUAGGCAAAGCAUGUUCUAUUUACAGCAGGCCAGCAGACACCAGGCAGUAAGGUGAUGUAUGAGUCAAUUAUCAGGAUGGAAAUGUUUUUUGGCAGCUUUCUCAGUGAAUCAGUAUCACCGUAGAACCUUUUUGGACACCCAGAUGUCGAGAGAUGCCCAUUCCUGAGGAAUAUCAAUGGAGCUACAACCUUUUCCCUCUCUUCUGCUUUGCCAGUAGCUGCUCAAGGAGGCAAGGGUCCAAUUUUUGAGGAAGGGUCAGGCUUUGAGUCAGCAUUCAAGCUUCUCCAUGGCUGAGAUGGAAUAGUUCCCCUUUCAGAAAGAUCAUAUGUAUCUGAUGAAAACCACAAUGAGAGCAUUGACGUCAAGUUAUAUACUUAGUUAGGCUCAAUUUAGAGUA